rnacentral:rRNA from 1 species
GACGAACGCUGGCGGCGUGCUUAACACAUGCAAGUCGAACGGAGUGGCGAACGGGUGAGUAACACGGGGGUGAUCUGCCGUGCACUUCGGGAUAAGCUGGGGCAACUGGGUCUAAUACCGGAUAGUGCAAGAUGAGCUCGCGGCCUUUCGGCUUGUUGGUGGGGUACUGGCCUACCAAGGCGGCGACGGGUAGCCGGCCUGAGAGGGUGUACGGCAACAUUGGGACUGAGAUACGGCCCAGACUCCUACGGGAGGCAGCAGUGGGGAAUAAUGCACAAUGGGCGGAAGCCUGAUGCGGCGACGCCGCGUGGGGGAUGAAGUCCUUCGGGUUGUAAACUCCUUUCGACAGGGACGCGGAACCUGUAUAAGAAGCACCGGAUAACUACGUGCCAGCAGCCGCGGUAAUAUG